rnacentral:rRNA from 1 species
CGUAAUGGGGGAGAAGUGGCUUCUAUUUGCCGAGACCAAACGGGCUUAUACCUAGGGUCCUCGGUUGUGUUUUUUCAUGGAACCAAUGACCCUCGUAUCCUGGAUACAUAUGCAUGUCGGGAAGCACUCGCGCUAGCAGAAGACUUAGCUGUGAGAGCCAUCUAUGUCGCAUCUGAUUGCCAAGGAGUGGUGGAUGACAUAAACAAGGGCAACGGAGGUCCAAAUGUAGCGAUCAUACAUGAGAUAAAAAACCAUUGCAAUAGUUUUAUUAAUGUUCUUUUAUUCAUGAGCGUAGGAACUUCAACAUUGAGGCUCAUAAUCCCGCCAAGUUUGCUUGUAACCUAG